rnacentral:tRNA from 1 species
GCGUCCGUAGCUCAAUGGUAGAGCAAUGGGCUUCCACCCCGUGGUCGUGGGUUCGAUCCCCACCGGACGCU